GACGAACGCUGGCGGCGUGCCUAAUACAUGCAAGUAGAACGCACAGUUUAUACCGUAGCUUGCUACACCAUAAACUGUGAGUUGCGAACGGGUGGGUAACGCGUAGGUAACCUGCCUGGUAGCGGGGGAUAACUAUUGGAAACGAUAGCUAAUACCGCAUAAUAUUAAUUAUUGCAUGAUAAUUGAUUGAAAGAUGCAAUUGCAUCACUACCAGAUGGACCUGCGUUGUAUUAGCUAGUAGGUGAGGUAACGGCUCACCUAGGCGACGAUACAUAGCCGACCUGAGAGGGUGAUCGGCCACACUGGGACUGAGACACGGCCCAGACUCCUACGGGAGGCAGCAGUAGGGAAUCUUCGGCAAUGGACGAAAGUCUGACCGAGCAACGCCGCGUGAGUGAAGAAGGUUUUCGGAUCGUAAAGCUCUGUUGUAAGAGAAGAACGGGUGUGAGAGUGGAAAGUUCACACUGUGACGGUAUCUUACCAGAAAGGGACGGCUAACUACGU
rnacentral:rRNA from 1 species